UACGUAGGGUGCAAGCGUUAAUCGGAAUUACUGGGCGUAAAGCGUGCGCAGGCGGUUUUGUAAGUUCUGUCGUGAAAUCCCCGGGCUCAACCUGGGAAAUUCGGCGAUGGAGACUGCAAGGCUAGAAUCUGGCAGAGGGGGUAGAAUUCCGACGUGUGGAGCAGUGAAAUGCGUAGAGAUAGUGGAGGAACACCGAUGGCGAAGGCAGCCCCUGGGUCAAGAUUGACGCUCCAUGCACGAAG
rnacentral:rRNA from 1 species